GCUUCUCAUCCCACUUAUUUAGUGCUAUAUUUUGUUUUUUGCAACAGAAUAUUAUUCAUCAGAGAGUUGUCUUUCCCUCUCUCUCAGCAGCUAAACAAACAAUGGAAAUUCAAAACUCUCUUGCUCUCGCUUUCUUCUUCACCGCCAUUUCUCAGACUCCAGUAACCUGCAACACGACCUAUGCCAAUGAAUCUAGGAUGAGCCGAUCUACAAAAUCCAUAUGGCCAUACGACGAGAAGUUAGCUAACGCAGCAUCACCAACAGUUUGUUGACCCCAACAACUGCCGAUCAUGUCUACUUCCUCGCGUCCCCCAUCUUCUACAAAAGGGUUUCGCCUUUCUUUACUCUGAAGUUUAUUGUAGAGAUGGAUUCGUUUUCGCUGCCAAGGAAGUUUCAUUGAUUGAUCAAGGAAGUCAGGGGAGGAGCUGUGUUUCCCAACUUCAACAGGAGAUUGAGUUUCUCAGUUGGCUUGAACACAAGAACAUAGUUCAAUACUAUAUAUGGCUCAUUUGAGGGACAUCAAAUGUGCAAAUAUUUUAGUGGAUGCUCAUGGAUCUGCAAAGCUUGCAGAUUUUGGAUUGGCAAAGUAAUCCAUGGAGUAGAGGAGAACACACAUAUCAUGCUGAGAAUUAAGGCUGCCAAGAAUUUUCUUUUCUCAUUAAAUGGUUUGAUAAGAAUAAUUGUUAUUGUAUAUUAAUUUUUUUUUUUUAAUUUGAAAUAUUGGUAGUCACUAUUGUUGAGGUUGGUGGAUGUAUAUUAAAACAAUGCAAAAAAUCAAGUCACCAAUGACGAUAUGAGAUUGCUUUCUGGUGAUGGGGCCCACAGUUUGAAAGUCACCAAAAAAGUAAUAGUGGUUUCUUGGGUAUAUGUCACGGGACCAAAGCAAACCAACCCCAUAAUAGUGUCUAGGGCGGUGGCUAUUGGGUUUUCACACCAACGAUUGAAGUCUAUUCUAUCAAUACACACCAUUUAGAAUGGUGUUGAUAGCCCAAUUUUGUUGUAGUGUAUGGUUUAAUAGGUUAAAAGGGGUUUGAUAAUUUAAAUACAAUGGGCAGAGGAAUAAGAUGUUAGGAAGAGAGAAUUCCAGCAAAUAAGAUAUUGGUAUUGGCAGCAAUCAUCCAAUACCAUAUCAAUUCAAGCAGGUUGGGAAAAAAAUUCAAUUAAUUUUUAUUUUACAUAAGCUACAAAUAAGAAACUGAUCAUAUUUCUGGGUUGAAAGACACGAAAGUUUAGAGAGAAGAGGAGGGUAGAAGAG